rnacentral:rRNA from 1 species
CUACGGGGUGCUGCAGUGAGGAAUAUUGCACAAUGGGGGAAACCCUGAUGCAGCAACGCCGCGUGGAGGAUGACGCAUUUCGGUGUGUAAACUCCUUUUAUCAGAGAAGAAAAUGACGGUAUCUGAUGAAUAAGCUCCGGCUAACUCCGUGCCAGCAGCCGCGGUAACACGGAGGGAGCAAGCGUUAUUCGGAAUCACUGGGCGUAAAGGACGCGUAGGCGGGUUUUUAAGUCAGGUGUGAAAUCCUAUGGCUCAACCAUAGAACUGCACUUGAAACUGGGGACCUAGAGUAUGGAAGGGGCAGGUGGAAUUAGUGGUGUAGGAGUAAAAUCCGUAGAUAUCACUAGGAAUACCGAAAGCGAAGGCGACCUGCUGGGACAUUACUGACGCUGAGGCGUGAAAGCGUGGGGAGCAAACAGGAUUAGAUACCCGCGUAGUC